GGGCCCGCACAAGCGGUGGAGCAUGUGGUUUAAUUCGAUGCAACGCGAAGAACCUUACCUACUCUUGACAUCUACAGGAUCCUGCGGAGACGCGGGAGUGCCUUCGGGAACUGUAAGACAGGUGCUGCAUGGCUGUCGUCAGCUCGUGUUGUGAAAUGUUGGUUAAGUCCCGCAACGAGCGCAACCCUUAUCCUUGUUUGCCAGCGAGUAAUGUCGGGAACUCCAGGGAGACUGCCGGUGAUAAACCGGAGGAAGGUGGGGACGACGUCAAGUCAUCAUGGCCCUUACGAGUAGGGCUACACACGUGCUACAAUGGCUAGGACAGACGGCUGCAAACCCGCAGGGGGAG
rnacentral:rRNA from 1 species